rnacentral:rRNA from 1 species
UACGGGGAGGCAGCAGUGGGGGAAUAUUGCACAAUGGGCGCAAGCCUGAUGCAGCCAUGCCGCGUGUGUGAAGAAGGCCUUCGGGGUUGUAAAGCACUUUCAGUCGUGAGGAAGGUAGUGUAGUUAAUAGCUGCAUUAUUUGACGUUAGCGACAGAAGAAGCACCGGCUAACUCCGUGCCAGCAGCCGCGGUAAUACGGAGGGUGCGAGCGUUAAUCGGAAUUACUGGGCGUAAAGCGCAUGCAGGUGGUUUGUUAAGUCAGAUGUGAAAGCCCGGGGCUCAACCUCGGAAUAGCAUUUGAAACUGGCAGGCUAGAGUCUUGUAGAGGGGGGUAGGAAUUUCAGGUGUAGCGGUGAAAUGCGUAGAGAUCUGAAGGAAUACCAGUGGCGAAGGCGGCCCCCUGGACAAAGACUGACGCUCAGAUGCGAAAGCGUGGGGAGCAAACAGGAUUAGAUACCCUGGUAG